rnacentral:rRNA from 1 species
GAUGAACGCUGGCGGCGUGCCUAAUACAUGCAAGUAGAACGCUGAAGCUUGGUGCUUGCACCGAGCGGAUGAGUUGCGAACGGGUGAGUAACGCGUAGGUAACCUACCUCUUAGCGGGGGAUAACUAUUGGAAACGAUAGCUAAUACCGCAUAAAAGUCGACAUUGCAUGAUGUUGACUUGAAAGGUGCAAAUGCAUCACUAAGAGAUGGACCUGCGUUGUAUUAGCUAGUUGGUGAGGUAACGGCUCACCAAGGCGACGAUACAUAGCCGACCUGAGAGGGUGAUCGGCCGCACUGGGACUGAGACACGGCCCAGACUCCUACGGGAGGCAGCAGUAGGGAAUCUUCGGCAAUGGACGGAAGUCUGACCGAGCAACGCCGCGUGAGUGAAGAAGGUUUUCGGAUCGUAAAGCUCUGUUGUAAGAGAAGAACGAGUGUGAGAGUGGAAAGUUCACAC